CGGGGGGAGCAAGCGUUGUUCGGAUUUACUGGGCGUAGAGGGCGCGUAGGCGGCCAGCACAAGUCAGUUGUGAAAUCUCCGGGCUUAACUCGGAACGGUUAACUGAUACUGUGCGGCUAGAGUGCAGAAGGGGCAACUGGAAUUCUCGGUGUAGCGGUGAAAUGCGUAGAUAUCGAGAGGAACACCUGCGGCGAAGGCGGGUUGCUGGGCUGACACUGACGCUGAUGCGCGAAAGCCAGGGGAGCGAACGGGAUUAGAUACCCCGGUAGUCCUGGCCUUAAACGAUGGAUGCUUGGUGUCUGGAGUUUUAUAGUCUCCGGGUGCCGUAGCUAACGCGUUAAGCAUCCCGCCUGGGGAGUACGGUCGCAAGACUG
rnacentral:rRNA from 1 species